UAAUACGGAUGGUGCGAGCGUUAAUCGGAAUUACUGGGCGUAAAGCGUACGUAGGCUGUUUUAUAAGUCGGAUGUGAAAUCCCCGGGCUCAACCUGGGAACUGCAUCCGAAACUAUUUAACUAGAGUAUGGGAGAGGUAAGUAGAAUUUCCGGUGUAGCGGUGAAAUGCGUAGAUAUCGGAAGGAAUACCAGUGGCGAAGGCGGCUUACUGGACCAAUACUGACGCUGAGGUACGAAAGCGUGGGGAGCGAACAGGAUUAGAUACCCUGGUAGUCCACGCCGUAAACGAUGAGAACUAGACGUUGGGAGGGUGAGCCUUUCAGUGUCGCAGCUAACGCAUUAAGUUCUCCGCCUGGGGAGUACGACCGCAAGGUUG
rnacentral:rRNA from 1 species